UAUUUUUCCUGCUGUCCCCGUUUCCUCAUUUGUUGGAGGUUUUCAUGCGUGUUCAUUUCGUUUCUCACGCUUCCCAUCCAAAAACGACGGGAUAGUUUAUGUCUUUGGUACAGAAGGCGUAUCUUUAUCUGGACACAAAAUGAGCAUCAUUUACUAUAUUCCUCUGUUCAAUCAAAACUGACAUUGAAGCAGCAUGGAAAAUCCAUGACACACAUCAUACAUGCUUCUGAUUAGAUGACUACCCAAACCGAGCAAAGACAAAAAGGGCAAUAGACUGACAGGGAAGGGAUACCAUAAUGAAGAAGAUGUGAAUUUCUCAUGGCUAUGUGCCACUGAAGAGGAAAAUAUGGCAAGUAUUCAGACGGGCAUAAACACAGACUGCUAAAACACGUGGGUCCUGAGUGAGAGGGCUUCUAUGAACUCAAUGACCCUCCUAAUGUUACUCAAGACCUACAAACUUCAGCAAACAAGUGGAAAUACAAUGACUAUUUAUGAUAAAUUCGAUCAUGAAUAUCAGUGAUUUUAAUGUGUUUUUAUUAGGCCAUUAAGUUUCCUACAGACCACGGCAGCAGACCAGUUUCAUAGCUACUUAUGUAUUCAUGUAAUUAGUAAUAUUUGAAUAGUCACUCUUAAUUUACUGUGAUACUGUGAAGCGUGUAAUUGCUAGUCACCAAAUGAAAUUAAAAAAAUAUAUAAUUUGUGUUUUAAAGCAGGUUUGGAUGGUCAAGCAGAUAGCCCUGCCCCAAACUCACACUAUUGGGAUAGAGAGGAAAGGGAGGCAAUCAAAAAAUUGGAUGAGAAAAUAAUCCAUAUUACAAAAAUAAAACGGUGCAAAUUUUACAAAAUGCGACAUUAAAAAGUGUAUAAAUCAUUGUGUUUCUAAAGAAACAGCAGGAGUCCACAUCUCUCUUGCCUCCCCUGAGCCCAUUGAGUUUUAAUAGACCCCCUAAAGCAUGCAGUGAGUUUUGUGGGGGGUAAUUGAGAAUGAAUGGGGUAAAGUCACAUGAGAGGAGGUAAUGCCUCCAUCGCACUAUGAUUGGAUAUGUUUGGUUAUGAUUCGCUAUGAUUGGUUCAUGUGAUAAAUCCUGUAUCUUGUUUUCGCUCACGUUCACAAAUCAGUUUGAAUAAACAAAAUGAUGGCAUUGAUGAGAAGACCAUAUUACUUAAACAACUCACCCACUUGAACUUGAAAUGGCCUGAAAACAUGAUGACAUGAAGUUUUUUAGUGAGUGUUUACUGAGCUAGAUGACUGACGAAAAUAAGUUAAUAAGACUAUUAAAAAGUCAACUUAGU